UACGUAGGGAGCAAGCGUUGUCCGGAUUUAUUGGGCGUAAAGGGCGUGUAGGCGGCCAGGUAGGUCCGCUGUGAAAACCCGAGGCUCAACCUCGGGACGUCGGCGGAAACCAUCUGGCUAGAGUCCGGAAGAGGAGAGUGGAAUUCCCGGUGUAGCGGUGAAAUGCGCAGAUAUCGGGAAGAACACCCGUGGCGAAGGCGGCUCUCUGGGACGGUACUGACGCUGAGACGCGAAAGCGUGGGGAGCGAACAGG
rnacentral:rRNA from 1 species